AUAACACAUUGGAUGGAAAAAGGAAAAGACUUACCAGAAGGAGAUGAGCGAGCGACCAGCGGGCUGUGUGAUGGCGGUGCUGUGAUACGCUACAUCAGAUAGUGAUAGUAGAUCACCAGGAAAUUGUGGCCUGUUAUAAAACAUCAAGAAAAAAGCGACAGGAUACCCGAAACUCACAUAUAAAUGAAUCAAUCAGAUCCAACAACUUGAGAGAGUAGCUGAAGGCUGCAGCACGGAGAUCAGUAGCAAGAGCGAUGGUCGGAUGUUGAAGAAGUAAGGAUCGGGCAAAAGUCAGAAAGUGUGCGAACAGCCAUGGAGGCCAGGUGGAAUUCCGAGCGACUAUUUGAUACCCAACAUGCUAUCGCCGAUUGGAAUGGAGCGCCUGGAAUGGAGUUUUGACGACACUGUGUGAUAGCAACAAGCCGAUUUGAUUUUCCUGGGACAACAGAUGCUAAGAGUUCGACAGAAAAAACGAUUUGCGAUGACGAUAGGCAAUGCUGCUGCAGCUGCCUCAGCGCAGAUCUACCCUGGUAUACCCUACCGACUGGAUUAGACGCCGCGCUGCAACGAGGUUGGGUGUGCAAUACGGUCAGGUGGAAUGUUGAACUAGACGUCCCGCAGAGCCCUCGCAUGUGACCACCACUUCACAACCACCAUCGAAGAUAUCCCGGCCAUCAAUUUGCCAAAAGUGCUCAAAGCCAACGCUUCGGGAGUUCUUUCAAGUGAGAUCUCUGCCCUUCUCCAGGAUCUUCUUGCCACACCAAGUGCAAUGCGGGUCGCCUCAGACGCUUUACGCCUGCGUUGUAGCAUCCUAAAAUUUUAGUGAAACUUUUACAUAGACUAUAUACGGAUAGAAUCUAUGCGGACUCGGAAAUGUACUUGGACCAUUCUUUGACGCUGAUUUAGAUUUGGGAUGUGGAGUAGGCAUACUAGAACUCUACCUUUAUGGUGGUGCGGAAAAGUGUUUAUUACACUUCCAAGCAUAACCAUAUAAAUAAAGAGAUUUUUGCCUACCAAAAAA